GUCGAGCGGACAGAAGGGAGCUUGCUCCCGGAUGUUAGCGGCGGACGGGUGAGUAACACGUGGGUAACCUGCCUGUAAGACUGGGAUAACUCCGGGAAACCGGAGCUAAUACCGGAUAGUUCCUUGAACCGCAUGGUUCAAGGAUGAAAGACGGUUUCGGCUGUCACUUACAGAUGGACCCGCGGCGCAUUAGCUAGUUGGUGAGGUAACGGCUCACCAAGGCGACGAUGCGUAGCCGACCUGAGAGGGUGAUCGGCCACACUGGGACUGAGACACGGCCCAGACUCCUACGGGAGGCAGCAGUAGGGAAUCUUCCGCAAUGGACGAAAGUCUGACGGAGCAACGCCGCGUGAGUGAUGAAGGUUUUCGGAUCGUAAAGCUCUGUUGUUAGGGAAGAACAAGUGCAAGAGUAACUGCUUGCACCUUGACGGUACCUAACCAGAAAGCCACGGCUAACUACGUGCCAGCAGCCGCGGUAAUACGUAGGUGGCAAGCGUUGUCCGGAAUUAUUGGGCGUAAAGGGCUCGCAGGCGGUUUCUUAAGUCUGAUGUGAAAGCCCCCGGCUCAACCGGGGAGGGUCAUUGGAAACUGGGAAACUUGAGUGCAGAAGAGGAGAGUGGAAUUCCACGUGUAGCGGUGAAAUGCGUAGAGAUGUGGAGGAACACCAGUGGCGAAGGCGACUCUCUGGUCUGUAACUGACGCUGAGGAGCGAAAGCGUGGGGAGCGAACAGGAUUAGAUACCCUGGUAGUCCACGCCGUAAACGAUGAGUGCUAAGUGUUAGGGGGUUUCCGCCCCUUAGUGCUGCAGCUAACGCAUUAAGCACUCCGCCUGGGGAGUACGGUCGCAAGACUGAAACUCAAAGGAAUUGACGGGGGGCCCGCACAAGCGGUUGGAGCAUGUGGUUUUAAUUC
rnacentral:rRNA from 2 species